GACGAACGCUGGCGGCGUGCUUAACACAUGCAAGUCGAACGAAGUGGCGAACGGGUGAGUAAUACGUGGGUAACCUGCCCUCCUUUUUGGGAUAAGCCUUGGAAACGGGGUCUAAUACCGAAUAAAGGGGGAUGGGCUCGCGGCCUAUCAGCUUGUUGGUGGGGUGAUGGCCUACCAAGGCGGUGACGGGUAGCCGGCCUGAGAGGGUGACCGGGCACAUAGGGACGGGGAUACGGGCCAGGCUCCUACGGAGGGCAGAAGUGGGGGAUAUUGCACAAUGGGCGAAAGACUGAUGCAGCGACGACGCGUAGGGGAUGAGGGCUUUCGGGUUGUAAACGUCUUUCGCUAUCGAACUGGUAGGUGGAGAAGAAGCGCCGGCUAACUACGUGCCAGCCGCCGCGGUAAUAC
rnacentral:rRNA from 1 species